rnacentral:rRNA from 8 species
GAUAGUACCUUACUACUUGGAUAACCGUGGUAAUUCUAGAGCUAAUACAUGCUGAAAACCCCAACUUCGGGAGGGGUGUAUUUAUUAGAUAAAAAACCAACGCCCUUCGGGGCUUCUUGGUGAUUCAUGAUAACUUCACGGAUCGCAUGGCCUUGCGCCGGCGACGGUUCAUUCAAAUUUCUGCCCUAUCAACUUUCGAUGGUAAGGUAUUGGCUUACCAUGGUUUCAACGGGUAACGGGGAAUUAGGGUUCGAUUCCGGAGAGGGAGCCUGAGAAACGGCUACCACAUCCAAGGAAGGCAGCAGGCGCGCAAAUUACCCAAUCCCGACACGGGGAGGUAGUGACAAUAAAUACUGAUACAGGGCUCUUUUGGGUCUUGUAAUUGGAAUGAGUACAAUUUAAACCUCUUAACGAGGAACAAUUGGAGGGCAAGUCUGGUGCCAGCAGCCGCGGUAAUUCCAGCUCCAAUAGCGUAUAUUAAAGUUGUUGCAGUUAAAAAGCUCGUAGUUGAAACUUGGGCCUGGCUGGCAGGUCCGCCUCACCGCGUGUACUUGUCCGGCCGGGCCUUUCCUUCUGGAGAACCUCAUGCCCUUCACUGGGUGUGUUGGGGAACCAGGACUUUUACUUUGAAAAAAUUAGAGUGUUCAAAGCAGGCCUUUGCUCGAAUACGUUAGCAUGGAAUAAUAGAAUAGGACGUGCGGUCCUAUUUUGUUGGUUUCUAGGACCGCCGUAAUGAUUAAUAGGGACAGUCGGGGGCAUCAGUAUUCAAUUGUCAGAGGUGAAAUUCUUGGAUUUAUUGAAGACUAACUACUGCGAAAGCAUUUGCCAAGGAUGUUUUCAUUAAUCAGUGAACGAAAGUUAGGGGAUCGAAGACGAUCAGAUACCGUCGUAGUCUUAACCGUAAACUAUGCCGACUAGGGAUCGGGCGAUGUUCUUUUUCUGACUCGCUC